UACGUAGGGGGCAAGCGUUGUCCGGAUUUAUUGGGCGUAAAGAGCGUGUAGGCGGCCUGAAAGGUCAGCUGUGAAAACUCGAGGCUCAACCUCGAGACGUCGGUUGAAACCAUCUGGCUAGAGUCCGGAAGAGGAGUGUGAAAUUCCCGGUGUAGCGGUGAAAUGCGCAGAUAUCGGGAAGAACACCCGUGGCGAAGGCGGCACUCUGGGACGGUACUGACGCUGAGACGCGAAAGCGUGGGGAGCGAACAGG
rnacentral:rRNA from 1 species